rnacentral:rRNA from 1 species
CGGCGUCGAUACCGGAUGAUUCCUGAGGGACAAAGAUUUAUCGCCUUUGGAGGGGCCCGCGUCGGAUUAGGUAGUUGGUGGGGUAACGGCUCACCAAGCCUAUGAUCCGUAACUGGUCUGAGAGGAUGACCAGUCACACUGGGACUGAGACACGGCCCAGACUCCUACGGGAGGCAGCAGUGGGGAGUAUUGGACAAUGGGGGCAACCCUGAUCCAGCAAUGCCGCGUGGGUGAUGAAGGCCUUCGGGUUGUAAAGCCCUUUCGGCGGGGACGAUGAUGACGGUACCCGCAGAAGAAGCCCCGGCUAACUUCGUG